UUAACACAUGCAAGUCGAACGAUGAAACCUAGCUUGCUAGGUGGAUUAGUGGCGCACGGGUGAGUAAUAUAUAGAUAACGUGCCUCUUAGUCUGGGAUAGCCAUUGGAAACGAUGAUUAAUACUGGAUACUCCUUCUCUUUAUAAUAAGAGUUGGGAAAGUUUUUCGCUAAGAGAUCGGUCUAUAUCCCAUCAGCUUGUUGGUAGUGUAAGAGACUACCAAGGCAAUGACGGGUAGCGGGUUUGAGAGGAUGAUCCGCCACACUGGUACUGAGACACGGACCAGACUCCUACGGGAGGCAGCAGUGAGGAAUAUUGCACAAUGGAGGAAACUCUGAUGCAGCAACGCCGCGUGGAGGAUGACGCAUUUCGGUGUGUAAACUCCUUUUAUAGGUCAAGAAAAUGACGGUAGCCUAUGAAUAAGCACCGGCUAACUCCGUGCCAGCAGCCGCGGUAAUACGGAGGGUGCAAGCGUUAUUCGGAAUCACUGGGCGUAAAGGACACGUAGGCGGGAAGCCAAGUCUGAUGUGAAAUCCUACAGCUUAACUGUAGAACUGCAUUGGAAACUGGUUACCUAGAGUAUGGGAGGGGGAGAUGGAAUUAGUGGUGUAGGGGUAAAAUCCGUAGAUAUCACUAGGAAUACCUAAAGCGAAGGCGAUCUCCUGGAACAUUACUGACGCUAAGGUGUGAAAGCGUGGGGAGCAAACGGGAUUAGAUACCCCGGUAGUCCACGCCCUAAACGAUGUUCACUAGUCGUCGGGAUGCUAGUCAUCUCGGUGAUGCACUUAACAGAUUAAGUGAACCGCCUGGGGAGUAC
rnacentral:rRNA from 1 species